AAGGCACUGGGGGGGGGGGGGGGGAAGGGACGAUAGUUGAUUAGAGCUAUGACACUUUCGACGAUACUUGUACGCCAUCAAAGUUUUUAUUUCUUUGGGACACUUUAAUUUUAAUAGUUACAUUUAGAGCAUAUGGUACUGUGCCGUUAUUUUUCCUCCACACGCACCUUACGCUUGGGACCACACCCACAUAUGUUUAUGUUUUGUGUAAUAUCUCCAUCCCGCGUACCAUCGCUCGUAUACGUUAGAUCUAGUACCGUGCUUAUCGGUUAUAACCACAGCUUUUGAUAAUUUGUUUUGAAAAUAAGUAUCUGCGAACAGGUAAUUACAGACUUCUUGCUGAAAGGGGUACAGUUUCCAUAUUACUGUGCAAAAGGAAUGAUGGAAGGGCAAGCUCUCUUCUAAAUGCACCACACACAUCUAAUGUUCAACAACAUGGGUUUGGUUAUGUACUGACUUUGAAAAGGGCAAGUUAAAUGUCAGGAUGAAGGCAAAAGACAAACACAAGAAGGUGACAAACACAAAAGGAAAGCAUCUCCAUAAAAUGGUCAUUAUCUGAUUUAAUUUUUUAUUAUAGGAAGAGAAAUGGUAAGAGGUUUUUGAAGAUUUUUGAAUUUAAAUUGAAGGAAAAUAAAAUAUGAUUAAAUGCAGCAUCAGUAUGCAGUUUACAUAAGUUAUCAGUAAAGUAUCUAAUUUGUUAUAAAUAGUUUAUAUAGAAUAGUUUAUACAUUUAUUAGCAAUUGAAGUGACAAUUAAAGGGGUUGGGGUUGAGUAUAUUUUCUUUGUCCUAACAAUUUAAGGAAGACUUUUCUGCCACUCAAGUAAAAAGAAUGUGGUCAUUGAAUGAAAGAAAAAGGCAUGUAAUUCUGCUCCAUUUGUUAUCAACUGUCUCUCAGUGGCAAAUCAUGGCUGUCUGAACAUGUGGGACCAGGAGCAAUAAAAUGAUAUGCUCUACCCCAAAUAUCUAUGUUUACAAGGAAGUAAAUUUAGUGUUUACAUGUGGCUUACAAUUCACUUUUAAUUCUUGAUACUAAUCAUGUACAAGGUAUGAAGGAGAGUGCAGAGAAUGGUAUUUGUGUUAUGCGUAUAGAAUGCCUAAAUUUAAAUUGUCGUGAUACAGUUAAUGGUUAGCAUACUGCCUGAACAGAAGCAACUUCAGUCUGAUUCUGUAACUAGCAACAGUAUUGCAACAAGGUGAAAUGCAGUCAGAUUUUUAUAGCUGUUAUGUUGUAAUUUGUCCUAUUUCAUACAUCUUCAGUUGUUAGUAGAAUUCUGUGAUGAAGUACUUAGUAAGUACUAUAUUCUAUUUCUAAUUUAUGUUCUGUCUCGCACAAAAUACUUUCUUUAAGGAGUCAAUUGUUUAACAUUAUAAUUUGUGACAUAACAUUAUUGAUUGUGCACUUUAGUUAUGUACAUCUUACAUGAUAAGACAAAGUUGUGAUUUUCUUUUUUGGAUUGAAAUGACAUACUUGUCUUCUCAUGGAGAAUCAAGUACAUAUGGUUUCUCCAGACUGACAAAUUGUCUUCCUUUGAAAAGAAUGUUAUUACACAUCUUCAUAAAUACUGAAGUGUACUGAAGUUUUAUUAUAGUAGCACAAAAGUUUAUAAAGAAAUGAUAUAUUUUAUUACAAUUAAGAAUUGUGAUUUUUGAUACCUGUGUAAUUAUAAUAUUCUAUAACUCUGUUUUCAGAAACAUCAUAUAACUAACUGAUUUUUAUAUUUUCAUUUAAGUGUUAAGAUACUUGCAAAAGUAGUUGUCUAAGUAAAUGUGUUUAAUUCAGGGUAGUUCUGAAUGAUAACUCAUUUCUUCAAUGAUGUCAUGGGACCAAUAGUUGAAAUUAUCUAUUGAAUGUGGAACUGUCUACUAUAUUUAUGUCACUUCUUCACACACUAUAUUAGGAGUUUUGCUGAACUGGAAGACCCAUGGUAUUGCCAAAUAUAACAUAAUGAGACCCACAUACUGAACUCUUGUGUUACCAUUAAUUGAGUAAUUCAUGUUCAUUAGGUACUUUCAACUUAGGUCCCUCUGAGUCCUUUCCUGUGGAAAGGUAUGUAAUUUCAUAGCAAAAUACAGACUGCCAGGCACCACCAUAGCCUUAUUUGCUUUUCUUGUUACCAUAAUUGCCACUGUUAGAACUUUAUUUUUUCUGUGUUACAUAAGUGGCACACGUAUAGUGAAACGUGGACAGUUGUUAUUAUUUUAGUAGAUUAUUGUAAUAUGUUCAGUGUAACAAAUUAAUUACUAAAACUGAACAGACCAAUGAACAUCUUUCCUAAUGUCAUCUUCACCAUUAGAACCUAAAGUCUCAUUUUUCCUGAUGAUAAAAUAUGCAUGUUACAUAAUGAAAGAUUAAUUUAUUCUAGCUUAUUGAUAAGAGAAUAUGAAUUUAUCUGAGAAGUAUUCUGACAACAUAAAACAGAAAAGAAUUCAAUUUGUCUUAUCACAUUUUUAGUACUUGUAGAACUUCUAAGUUCCAUUUUGCCUAGAAAAGUAUUUACACCUAUGAUGUCAUUUUACUGAUGAUUCUUUUCCUUACAAUUUGACAUUCUUGCAGUUCAGAAAUUUAUGAAACUGCCUGUAUAUUAUCUUUCACUGUGGAUCAAUUCAUAGCAGUACUCAGUAAGUACAAAUUAAACAGGCGUAACUUUGGUGGGAACAGCCUAGACUUCAUGAAGUUUAAACAUAAGAAUUUAAUUCAGGUACAUGUUGUGUAACUGUAUCUAAUAUUUGGUUGUAACAGUGCCUUAAAAGGUAUGGAUGCUACAUCUGUUGCCUUAUGUCUCCAAGAUGUUGCUACUAAAGUUAACAUUUACUAUAAGGAUUUAAUGAGGUUUAACUGCAGGGGAGCCAUGCUUUGGUAAAUGUUUCAGUAGUAGUAGUGCAAUAUUUGCAUUACACUACUCUGAUAUUAGCUGUAACAAACAAUCUCAUUUUUAUUGUACAGUAAACAAAGUUAUUGCAAAGUUUUACAGUCUUUGUCAUACAGUUUAUUUAUUAAUAUAUGUUUUUAACACUUAUAUAAAGAGGACUUGAGGAAGAAAUGGGCUUACUCUGGAAACUGAGGUGCUGUAUGUAGAAGUAAAUGUGAGAUUUUAAAUUUUUGCACAAACAGUGUUUACAUCAAAUGAAGAAUUGAACUGUAAUCAAUAAGAAACAGAUAGUUUUUUGUUUAUAAUCUCUGAGAAUGUUUCUAAUUAUUAUAGUGCCUUAAGAAAAUACAUCUGUUGCCAUUAUGUCCCCAAGAUGUUGCCAGUAAAAUGAACAUUUAUUGGCAAGGUUGAGUAAUUGUUUCUGAGGCAUGGGCACCCAUAGGUGGGAUUGAAUUUACUGCCAUUGAGGUCUUUAGAUAUAUGCUUGCCCAAUUGUUACAGUUGAGUUAAUGGAGACCAGUGGUAACAUCAGACUAACUGUAUUAAGAACUUCAUAAAAAAAGUGAUAUAUUGCCAUGUGAAUGAUGCAGAAAGAAAAUUAAAGUGUAUUACUUUUUUUCCCUGGUCUAAACAUUAAGUUUUUGAAUGUCUCAUGUAUGAGACUUUGAGCAAGUGGAUUUUGCUAAGUAGAUUAAAAAUGGGUUAUAGGGCAGCUUGAGAUCAUUAGAUUCUCAGGAUGAUAUAAUCAAUUGCAGUUUACUUCUGCAAUUUUCUAUCAUGAAAUUCCAACUUGUCUUAACCCAUAUAUCUCUUGGCACAUUAUUUUAUGUAGAAUGUUUCUGUCACUUAUAUAAUGUUUUUGGAAGCCUUUUUAUUUUCUGUUGUAGUUAGGUAUAUUGUUGUUAGUGUAUGUUUCUUAUAUUCUGUUUGAGUAUUGUCUCAAGACAAAUUAGACUGACCACAUCUGGUGUGGAGAAACACUUUUCAAUUAUAUUACCUCAGUGAAAAUGUCAGAAAUAAAUUUACAAAUGUUGGUCUCAUGUGGUGAUUAUAAAAUAUACAUAUUGAAAAUUGCAUUAAGCCUCAGAAACACCAUAUUUGACUAUUUUUUUACAAAAAUGUAUUGAUUAAUUAUUCAGUAAACAUUAAUUGCCUUUAUUCAAUAUCAUAAUCUUUCCCUUCUUGCUGAAUUUAGACACAUGCUUUUUCUCUUCAUACCAGAAAUUUCAGGGAAGUCAUCGAAGUUUGAACUUAUCAUAAUCAUUAUCAUCAUAUUUCUAUACAUGAAAUAUCUUCACAAGUGACCAAUGUGACAGUAUUCUCAAUGGUUUUCCUCAGUGUCUCCCAAUAUUACCAAGCAGUCAGUGGCUUAGAAAUAGGUCAUAGUUGCCUCCUUCCAAGUGCUUAAUGACUAAAAAUAUUCUCAGAAUCAAUGAAUCUACACAAAUGACGGCUCUGUUUAAUAAUGUCUUUUAUCUUCAUUUGAUAUAGUAUGCAUGCCAAAUGUAAACGUAUCAAAUGGUAGAGGAUUCCACUAAUUUUGAAUUUAUCCUUUGGUUUUAACUGAAUUGCACUUGUAGUAAAAAGUAGUUUUACAGGUUCUUGGAGAUGAAAUAAAUUGAAACCAAAGAUAAACUUUCCUUAAUACAACACAGUGUCAUUGUUACUUUAUUAAAGUACAACAGAAGUGCCUUAGAACAAUAUAUAUAAGUAUAAUAUAUCUAGUCUACUGUGUUGAUACCUGCUGUUAACUUUCUUCUGCUCUGUUACAGUCUGAUGUCUGUGAUAGAGGGUUUAAUGGAGCAUUUAAUUACUGAUGUCACAUCCUUCUGUUAUCCUUGUAAAUUCACAGCACUAACAGGAUCAUUUUUGUGUGAUUUAUUUGUACAAAAACUAAAAAUUCUGUGAAGUCUUCCCUGAGUCCACAAGAAAGGCAGAAAUAUACUAUAAGCACUUUGUAUACAUUUUGCCCUAAAUGUGAUGCUAAUGUGUAUUUCUUGAUGUGCAGGUACAGUACUAAUAGGUAUAUACACCAAGAACAAAUUAUGUUUGAAGCCAGAGUGAACUUUGAUGGUUGUGUUCCAUGUAUUCAAUUUACCUGUAUUGAAUGCACACUUUUUUCCCUGCAGAUAUCUCAUAAAAAUUCCUGUAUAUUGUGUUCGUGCACAUUCGCCAUUUUGACACUACCUCUAAGUCACGUGCAAAUAUAAUAUGCAGUAUGUAGGAUUUGAGGUUUAUACAGUGGUGAGUAUGAAGAUUUCCGUCUUCUGGGUUGUUGCGCCGUGUAGUCUGGUCGAUGAUAACCAACGUUUCAGAGGUCAUACUGCCUCCGUCCUGAUGACGGAAAUCUUCAUAAUAUGCAUUACAUUUUUCAGAUACUAGAAGAAAAAAAGUUUAUUUUAUUCAGACAAAUGCAAUAUAGAAAAGGUAGUUUGACAUUUAUUUUCUGAUGUGUGGGGCAUUGUCACCUUUAUUAGGAUUGUUUAUCAUUUCAGAGGGUUAAGAUGAUUGAAACUGUAUACAACAGUUUGGUACCACUAACCAAGAAGACCAUAUUUCUGUUGCAAAAACAUUCACCUAGUGACAUUUAAGAAUAUGAUAAUUUUUUGUUCUAACCUAACCCAACUGAGAAGCAGAUGAAAUACAUAAAUAUACUCUGUAAGUGAAGUACUGAAUUGUAAUACAAGUUGUUGAUUCUGUUAUAAAUUCAAGGUAUUUUUUCAAACCACCAGUGAAGUUUGUUACAAAUGUAGAUUUUAAUAUAUUAUCAUCUACAGGACUUUCACAUCUACAUUUGAUGUUAUAUUGAAAUAUUAAUGUUUUAUUUAACAGUAACAUAUAUAUUUAUAAUGCAAUAAAAUUUUUAUUCAUAUCA